rnacentral:misc_RNA from 1 species
AGUUCAUGAUCAGCUCUUCCUUCAAUUUUAUCGUCAUGUCACGAGCAAAAAUGAUCCACAAUGGUUCAUCUUGAAUCACGGCAUACCUGAGAGUCCCUAGCUUAGGUUUCACAGGAUCAUGGUCACUGGAAUCUGUGACGACGUAAAUUUUUCCAUCUCUUCCCCCGAUGGCAUUCUUACCGAACCCAAUGGCACAGUCCGCCAGGCGCUGGCGAUUCUUCUCCCAGUUGGGGUCGCACCUCCAGCAAUCAUCAAUGGGGUUACCGGUUCCACAGGAAAGAUAGCCCAAGUUCCUCCUGGAAGCAUUGAUGGCCCUGCAUGCGCAAAAAAGAAAAAACAAAUAAAAUGCAACACAUUUUAAACACUAAGAUAUAAAAAACCACCUAGAAUGCACAUGUUGGAACUAGAGUGAGUAGCAGUAAGGUGUUGUAAUGCUUAAGCCAGGGUUAGUUACCUGUGUACUUGGUGUGCUACAAGCUCUGGGUCCUUAACUGAGGAAGAGGAAAUGAGGGAAGGGAUGGUGAGAAGAGAGAAGAGGAAGAGAAUAGGGAGAGCCAUUGGUGCGUCCUAUAUGCUCUAGUGUGAAAGAGGGGAAUGCGUGAGCAAUUGCAGGGAGAGGGCAAGUGUAUAUAAAGAGGGGGACCUAGGUGUGCUUCGUGAUUUCUUGAUAUACAUUCCCCUGGUAGUUUUCGCCGUUAAGCCUUUGAAAUUGGCAAAGAUUAGAGGAUUAAAUGUGAGAUAGAUAAAUACAGUAAAAUAUUAAAGCAACAAAUAAUCAUAAUAAUAAUGAAAACUUUAUCAUUCACGGUGCACCCAGUGCCUAGCGUAUCAAGAAUUACAGCUAGAUUAUAUAAUGUAGACACCGACAAUGAAAUUGACAACGUCAAUAUUGAAGCCACCUGUUUUAUUUUUUUAUUUAUUUUUCUAUUUGUAAAUUGUCAUGUAAUUUGUCUAUGUUUA